rnacentral:rRNA from 1 species
AUUUUGGACAAUGGGCGCAAGCCUGAUCCAGCCAUGCCGCGUGAGUGAAGACGGCCCUACGGGUUGUAAACUUCUUUUGUAAGGGAAUAAAGUGAGUCACGUGUGACUUUUUGCAUGUACCUUACGAAUAAGGAUCGGCUAACUCCGUGCCAGCAGCCGCGGUAAUACGGAGGAUCCGAGCGUUAUCCGGAUUUAUUGGGUUUAAAGGGUGCGCAGGCGGGAGAUUAAGUCGGCGGUGAAAUUUUGCAGCUCAACUGUAAAAGUGCCUUCGAAACUGGUUUCCUUGAGUGUAGAUGAAGUAGGCGGAAUUUGUGGUGUAGCGGUGAAAUGCAUAGAUAUCACGAGGAACUCCGAUUGCGCAGGCAGCUUACUAAGCUACUACUGACGCUCAGGCACGAAGGCGUGGGGAUCAAACAGG